rnacentral:lncRNA from 1 species
GCCGCCCACCCUAGCACCGCCCGCUUCACUCAGCCCCGCCCCGCUCGGCCCCGCCCGCCCGUCGAGCCUCCUAAUAACACGUAAAUCUCGCGAGCGCACCGAGCAGUUCGAAAAAAGUAAAGCUUUUUCCUCCCCGCCUGCAACUGUACGCGAUCUCCUUGGAUCGCGUUGGCCCCGGCUGCGCAGUCGCAGCUCGGAACCGCUGCUUUAACCCAACCCCGGAAAUAACAUCCGGAGCUUCCGUUGCAAGCCGGAAGUUAGCUAGAGAGUGAGUUGCGUCCGUCCGUCCUCUUUAGGACGCCGGACUACCAGGCAGCCAUCUUGUUCAAGGGUGGUCUAUCAACCGCUGAGACAAACGACAGUAAAAGGAGAAAGAGCAACCUAGCUAUGUUAAAAUGGGAAAGGAUGAUCAUGAUAACAGUGAAAUGUUCCUGGAAGUAGCAGUUUCUCAGUAAGUUUUGGCUGCCGCAGACGUCACUCGCCUAGCAUUUCCAACGUGAUGACGUCGUCGCGGGCCGCGGUAGGAGACUUUCACACUCCAGGAGGAACCAUAUCUCUUCUGCUCUUUGCUAUAUGGAUGUGGUUCUCGAAGUCACUGCAGAAGCAGACUGUGUGCAGUGGAGGUGGCAGAGGGCCACGGGAUAAGUUCAGCAGAGAAAACCCUGAGGCACAGGGGAGACAGCUCUUUGACGAAGCUAUCUCUGGGACAGCAGCCACAUACUAUCCAAGUGAUCACGCGAACGGACCAGAUGUCCCUGUCUGUUUCACCGUAUCUCCUACAAGUCCAGAUGGCCAGGCCUGCACAGUCUGCUGGAUGCCGGCAGGGAACUGCAUCCCCUCCUCUCUCUUCUCCCUCCUUCCACCUCCUUUGAUCCCAUAUCCCAGUAGCCAUUGCUCUGUUCCCAGAGCAUUUGGAUAUUUAGGAGAAAAAAAGUUCCUCAGAAAUCUCAAAAACUCUAAAAUUUGUUCUGAUGUGUUAAAUUUUAGGACGGAAAAUCUGAACAGCAAGUGGACAUGCUAA